UUCCGGUUGAUCCCGCCGGAAGUCACUGCUAUUGGGAUUCGACUAAGCCAUGCGAGUCGAGAGGGUUCGGCCCUCGGCAGACUGCUCAGUAACACGUGGAUAACCUACCCUUAGGUGGAGAAUAAUCUCGGGAAACUGAGAAUAAUACUCCAUAGAUCUAGGAUACUGGAAUGUGCCUAGAUUGAAAGUUGCGGCGCCUAAGGAUGGGUCUGCGGACUAUCAGGUAGUAGUCAGGGUAAUGACCUGACUAGCCUACGACGGAUAUGGGUUGUGAGAGCAAUAGCCCAGAGACGAUAUCUGAGACACGAUAUCGGGCCCUACGGGGCGCAGCAGGCGCGAAAUCUUCACAAUGUGCGAAAGCAUGAUGAGGGAAUCCCAAGUGCUGGCACGUAAGUGUCAGCUGUUUCUUAGUCUAAAAAACUUAGAGAGUAAGGGCUGGGUAAGACGGGUGCCAGCCGCCGCGGUAAUACCUGCAGCUCGAGUGGUGGCCGCUAUUAUUGGGCCUAAAACGUCCGUAGCCUGUUUAGUAAAUGCUUGGGUAAAUCGUAUAGCUUAACUAUACGAAUACCGAGUAGACUGCUAGACUUGGGACCGGGAAAGGCUAGAGGUACUCCUGGGGUAGAGGUGAAAUUCUGUAAUCCUAGGGGGACCACCAGUGGCGAAGGCGUCUAGCUAGAACGGGUCUGACGGUGAGGGACGAAGCCCUGGGGCGCAAACCGGAUUAGAUACCCGGGUAGUCCAGGGUGUAAACGCUGCUUGCUUGAUGUUAGUUGGGCUCCGAGCCCAACUAGUGUCGGAGAGAAGUUGUUAAGCAAGCUGCCUGGGAAGUACGGUCGCAAGGCUGAAACUUAAAGGAAUUGGCGGGGGAGCACAGCAACGGGUGGAGCGUGCGGUUUAAUUGGAGUCAACGCCGGG
rnacentral:rRNA from 1 species